GAUGAAGAACGCAGUGAAAUGCGAUAAGUAAUGUGAAUUGCAGAAUUCAGUGAAUCAUCGAAUCUUUGAACGCACAUUGCGCCCAUUAGUAUUCUAGUGGGCAUGCCUGUUCGAGCGUCAUUUCAACCCUUAAGCCCCUGUUGCUUAGCGUUGGGAGCCUACAGCCUGCUGUAGUUCCUCAAAGUUAGUGGCGGAGUCAGUUCACACUCUAGACGUAGUAAAAUCUUUAUCUCGCCUAUAGAUGAGCUGGCGCCUUGCAGUAAAAACCCCUAAUCUUUUACAAGGUUGACCUCGGAUCAGGUAGGAAUACCCGCUGAACUUAAGCAUAUCAAUAAGCGGAGGA
rnacentral:misc_RNA from 1 species